rnacentral:rRNA from 1 species
UACGAAGGGGGCUAGCGUUGCUCGGAAUUACUGGGCGUAAAGCGCACGUAGGCGGAUUGUUAAGUCGGGGGUGAAAUCCUGGAGCUCAACUCCAGAACUGCCUUCGAUACUGGCGAUCUCGAGUUCGGGAGAGGUGAGUGGAACUGCGAGUGUAGAGGUGAAAUUCGUAGAUAUUCGCAAGAACACCAGUGGCGAAGGCGGCUCACUGGCCCGAUACUGACGCUGAUGUGCGAAAGCGUGGGGAGCAAACAGG